GGCUCGGUAGCAUGCAGUGUGCAUCUUCCAUUGUUGAGACAGUAAUAACGGUGUAUAAGCAGAAGAUCCCGGUUCGACUCCGGGCUGAGCCA